AAUAGUAAUUGAGUAAGGGGUGACUUAUGGAAGAUGGUAAAUAGGGUGGUGUGGAUUACAAAGUAGCUAAACGGUUUCUUCACAUAUGUUUGUGUAUUAAAAAAAAAUAAAAAAUAAAAAUAACCCGGUCCGCCGAGGUCUGGUCCGCGUAGGUCCUGUCUUCAUUUUACAAAGACCCGCUCCCAUUAUUGAUAAAAAUUUCUGCAGUAAUCAAGCAGUGCUCAUGCGCACACAACUAAUAUGCAGAUAAACGUAACGUAUACAAUUUUUACUCUUACACCUAAGUUCUUUACCAAAUCAUCAGAUGUUUUUGAAAAUAGACAAACAAGACAUGAUAUCGCCUUUUUUUAAAUAUGAUUUUCUAAUAAAGAAAGACUAGGACUCAAAACGGUAUGUUCUUAUCGGGAUUAGGAUACCUGUGGAAAGUCACGCAUUUUCAUCUGGCAGACCGCUGAUCAGUUGUUGUCAUCUGAAACCAGACUCGUGUUGUAGUACUUGACCUUUGCAUUGAAAUUAAUCUUACAAAUCGGCUUUUUCCCUGAAAACCUCUUGGCAGAAGUAACUUCCAAGGAUGAACCAAGACAAUUAUACAGCAUCUGAGAUUAGUAUACAGCAAGGGUAGAGUUUAUUUUCUGUGAUUUUUCUCCUGUACAAACAGGUAUGUGUAUCUAAUAAAGACGGCUGUCAAGAAAA